CAUCUUUCUCUUAUCGCUGGAGUUUUCGCUUGUUGAAAUUUUUAGUGUUUCUUCUCUUGCUGGUGUUUGAAAUCGUCGAGCGGAGGGUGGUUAUUUAUAGAGGGAUAUUGCGGGUGGAGAAAUGGGAGUUUCUGGAGAGAUGUAGAAACUCAAGGGACUUUCCAGAGGUUUCUGCUGGGUAUACGAGUGGGGUCUAGAAUGUUCAUAGAAGCCUUCACGAGGAGCCCAAAAAGUAAUUGCCAAGACUUACUAUUUGAAGUCCCACUCUCUCUCUCUCUGUCUCUCUCUCUGUUCCUCAACAGAAGAAAAGUCAAGUCAUUCCCUUGGCAAGGAUUCCUUCCUCAAGGAGAGAGAGAGAAGAAAAGAAAAAAAAUAAAAAAGCAAGGAUUUAGCAUCCCAUGGAAUACUACAGCGUAAUAAUAUCUUUUUUCUUUAUAAUAAAAAAAGGUCUUGUUUUUCCAGGCAAAAUAAUCUUUUAAAUAUAAUUCAUUUGUUAUUAUAAAACUUAUUGGGAUUUAAUUGUCUAUCAACUUUUUUUACAUAGUUAAAUAACAUAACUUCAAUUUAAAACAAAUAAAAAAUUAAGGCUUUUACAUCUUUUUUUUUUAAAACCAAAUUACUUCAUUACCUUUAAAAUAAAAUAAAAAACUUAAAGAAGAAGUCCAUGGGUAUUUUGUUUUAAUUGUCUAUCAUGUUUUUUGAAACAUCUAGUAGCGAGGCUAAUAGAAUGACACAUGUAAUGAAAUUCUAGAUAAUAAUGGGAUUCAAUUCUCCCCUUUUUGUUCUUUCAUUUCCUUGAAAAUCGUGCUAGGUCAGUCAAAAUUCAAAGUUUUCCUAACAUUUAUCUUUAUUUUAAUUGUGAUUCUCAUUCUUUUAAUUAGUCCUCAUUUGUUUUGGAUUCUUUUUUUGAUUGAUUUUUUUUAUAAAAAAAAAAUUCAUCCCUUACCAUUUAGUUUUAUUUUAUUUUUAUAUAAAAAAUAGUCUUUAUUCUUUGGAUUUUUAUUUUUCUAUUCUUUUCUUGAUUUUAUUUUUCCAUUUUUAUCCCUCAAUGUCUUAUUUCAUUUAAUUUUUUUAUCCAAUUUUAGUUCUAUUUUUUAAUUGUUUUUUUUUUGUUUUUUUUAUUUAUUUUAUUUUUCAAUUUAACUCCUUAUUUGUUUUUUAUUGGUUUUUGUAUGAGAUUUAAUUUUUAUUAUUUUAAUUAUUGUUAUUUUUUUUAUUAAAAGUUUUAUUCGUAAGUUUUUUUUUUUCAUCUAGAACUUAUAACCAGGGUUAUUAAUUUUAAGAAUUAGCUUGAUUUAAUUUUGGUAUGUUUUAGUUUCUUUUUAUUUGUUUGUUUAAUUUUAAUAUUAGGCUAUUAAAAAGAUUUCUAGUUUUUUCUACUGUCUUUUUUAUAUCAGGUUAGUAAAAAUAACAUGAGUUGAUUAGAAUUUUUUUAAUAUUUUUUUUUUUUAUUAUUUUUUUAAUUAUAUCCUUUAAGGGUCAUGAACUUUUUAAUUUUUUAUGUUUUGGUUCAAUAAAUUUAUCCCUGGUUUCUUUUUUUAAUAUAUUAUUUUUAAUUUUAUUUUUUAAAAUUAAGCCAUUUAGCUUUAACUUUUUCGAUUUUUUUAUAUGGUUAUCCCAGGUUAAUCAAAUUAACCUAUAUUUUUUUCAAUGUUAUUUUUUAUUUGUUUAACUUCAAAUUUUUUUAGGUCAUUUUUUAAAAAAUUAUUUCAAUUUCAUUUCAGCGGGUUAGUAUAGUGAUUUUUUUUCUAGGUCAUUUUUUAAAAAAAUAUUUCAAUUUCAUUUCACAAUUUGCGUUUGAACCAAGUAGAAAGAAAAGGUAGCAUAUAACGCCACCACUACAUUCAUAUAUUUCAUACCACGUUUUGAACAAACAAUCACUAGUUUCCUAAGGAGAAAACUAAUAAAGAACUCGUUCAAACGCAACCUAAAGAGAACUAAUAAAGAACUCGUUCGAACGCAAACAUGCUCAAAAUUAGCCCACACCCCAAAGCAAAGCCCACAUUAUUUAUCAUUAUCACCUUAGCACGCAGAACAAGCCACAUUAUAUGUGUAAUCAAGCACUCUUCUUCAAGCAAUCUUGACCUCGAUAGUCUUUGGCUUCUUAGGCUCAGGAGGUGGUGAUUUCUCAACAGUAACAGUCAGUACCCCAUCUUGACAAACAGCAGAAAUAGCGUCAGUGUUAGCAUUCUCAGGCAACACAAACUUCCUCAUAAACUUACCAAUCCUCCUUUCCAUUCUCACGUACUUGGCCCCUUCUUUCUCCUCUCCGCGCUUCCUCUCUCCACUAAUAACCAGCACAUUGUCAUCCUCCACUUGAACCUUUAUGUCCCCUGAUUUCAGUCCCGGCAUGUCAAUGAUGAACGCGUAAGAGUUUGGAUACUCUUUAACAUCAGCUGGUGUCGAUGCCAUUGCCUUGGCAUCACGUACGUAAGUGCGUGUUGGCGCAUUGAAGGACUUGUCUGCCUCAUGAUCACUUGCAUCCAUCAUGUGCUGGAGGGUGUUGAAGAGUGGUGCGUCGAGACCCAUGAUUCUGAAAUCCAUCUUUUUCUUCUCGCUGGAGUUUUCGCUUGUUGAAUUUUUUAGUGUUUCUUCUCUUGCUGGUGUUUGAACUCGUCGAGGGGAGGGUGGUUAUUUAUAGGAGGGACAUUGGGGGUGGAGAAAUGGGAGUUUCUGGAGAGAUGUAGAAACUGAAGGGACUUUCCAGGGGGUUUCUGCUGGGUAUACGAGUGGGGUCUAGAAUGUUCAUAG
rnacentral:lncRNA from 1 species